GAUGAACGCUGGCGGCGUGCCUAAUACAUGCAAGUCGAGCGAACAGACGAGGAGUUUGCUCCUCUAACGUUAGCGGCGGACGGGUGAGUAACACGUGGAUAACCUACCUAUAAGACUGGGAUAACUUCGGGAAACCGGAGCUAAUACCGGAUAAUAUAUUGAACCGCAUGGUUCAAUAGUGAAAGACGGUUUUGCUGUCACUUAUAGAUGGAUCCGCGCCGCAUUAGCUAGUUGGUAAGGUAACAGCUUACCAAGGCAACGAUGCGUAGCCGACCUGAGAGGGUGAUCGGCCACACUGGAACUGAGACACGGUCCAGACUCCUACGGGAGGCAGCAGUAGGGAAUCUUCCGCAAUGGGCGAAAGCCUGACGGAGCAACGCCGCGUGAGUGAUGAAGGUCUUCGGAUCGUAAAACUCUGUUAUUAGGGAAGAACAAAUGUGUAAGUAACUAUGCACGUCUUGACGGUACCUAAUCAGAAAGCCACGGCUAACUACGUG
rnacentral:rRNA from 1 species